AUGCUCACUUUGGCAGCACAUACGCUAAAAUUGGAGUGAUUACACACAAGAUUAGCAUGGCCCCUGCACAAGGAUGACAUGCAGAUUCGUGAAGCACUCCAUAUUUUU
ensembl:snRNA U6 U6 spliceosomal RNA